UCCUACGGGGGGCAGCAGUGAGGAAUAUUGGUCAAUGGUCGGGAGACUGAACCAGCCAAGCCGCGUGAGGGAGGAAGGUACAGAGUAUCGUAAACCUCUUUUGUCAGGGAACAAAGGCGGGGACGUGUCCCCGGAUGAGUGUACCUGAAGAAAAAGCAUCGGCUAACUCCGUGCCAGCAGCCGCGGUAAUACGGAGGAUGCGAGCGUUAUCCGGAUUUAUUGGGUUUAAAGGGUGCGCAGGCGGUCUGUUAAGUCAGCAGUCCAAGCCCGGGGCUCAACCCCGGCCCGCCGUUGAAACUGGCAGG
rnacentral:rRNA from 1 species